rnacentral:rRNA from 1 species
ACGGAAGGCAGCAGUGGGGAAUAUUGCACAAUGGGCGAAAGCCUGAUGCAGCGACGCCGCGUGAGUGAAGAAGUAUCUCGGUAUGUAAAGCUCUAUCAGCAGGGAAGAAAAUGACGGUACUUGACUAAGAAGCCCCGGCUAACUACGUGCCAGCAGCCGCGGUAAUACGUAGGGGGCAAGCGUUAUCCGGAUUUACUGGGUGUAAAGGGAGCGUAGACGGUUUGGCAAGUCUGAAGUGAAAUGCGGGGGCUCAACUCCUGAACUGCUUUGGAAACUGUCGAACUAGAGUGCAGGAGAGGUAAGUGGAAUUCCUAGUGUAGCGGUGAAAUGCGUAGAUAUUAGGAGGAACACCAGUGGCGAAGGCGGCUUACUGGACUGUAACUGACGUUGAGGCUCGAAAGCGUGGGGAGCAAACAGGAUUAGAUACCCUGGUA